GAUGAACGCUGACGGCGUGCCUAAUACAUGCAAGUCGAACGAAACUUCUUUAUCACCGAGUGCUUGCACUCACCGAUAAAGAGUUGAGUGGCGAACGGGUGAGUAACACGUGGGCAACCUGCCCAAAAGAGGGGGAUAACACUUGGAAACAGGUGCUAAUACCGCAUAACCAUAGUUACCGCAUGGUAACUAUGUAAAAGGUGGCUAUACUACCGCUUUUGGAUGGGCCCGCGGCGCAUUAGCUAGUUGGUAGGGUAAAGGCUUACCAAGGCAAUGAUGCGUAGCCGAAUUGAGAGGUUGAUCGGCCACAUUGGGACUGAGACACGGCCCAAACUCCUACGGGAGGCAGCAGUAGGGAAUCUUCCACAAUGGGCGAAAGCCUGAUGGAGCAACGCCGCGUGGGUGAAGAAGGUCUUCGGAUCGUAAAACCCUGUUGUUAGAGAAGAAAGUGCGUGAGAGUAACUGUUCACGUUUCGACGGUAUCUAACCAGAAAGCCACGGCUAACUACGUG
rnacentral:rRNA from 1 species